rnacentral:rRNA from 1 species
UACGGAAGGCAGCAGUGGGGAAUAUUGCACAAUGGGCGCAAGCCUGAUGCAGCCAUGCCGCGUGUAUGAAAAAGGCCUUCGGGUUGUAAAGUACUUUCAGUCGUGAGGAAGGUGUUAAGGUUAAUAACCUUAGCAAUUGACGUUAGCGACAGAAGAAGCACCGGCUAACUCCGUGCCAGCAGCCGCGGUAAUACGGAGGGUGCGAGCGUUAAUCGGAAUUACUGGGCGUAAAGGGCACGCAGGCGGUUAAUUAAGUUGGAUGUGAAAUCCCCGGGCUUAACCUGGGAAUGGCAUUCAAGACUGGUUAGCUAGAGUCUUGUAGAGGGGGUAGAAUUCCAUGUGUAGCGGUGAAAUGCGUAGAGAUGUGGAGGAAUACCGGUGGCGAAGGCGGCCCCUGGACAAAGACUGACGCUCAUGUGCGAAAGCGUGGGGAGCAAACGAGGGAUUUAGAUACCCG